UUUAAUAAAAAAUAAUAAUAACAGCGUCACAUCGUUUAAAGAUAGCUCUUUCACGAGACAAAAGCCAAUUUUUCCUUCCCGCAAAGCCCUGCUGAAUCUUUGGAACUUUUAUUUGCGGCAUGCUGGCGCCCUCUGGCUGCGUUUGGAUUGCUGACUAGUCCUUCUCGCCUGUUCCAUCCCCGCGAGGAAAAAUCUAGCUAAGGUGGAAGCUGCCCUCCUGACCUGAGAGUGAAUUCCAGACAGGCUUGGCAUCCAGCAUCAGGGCGACACAAUGUAACAAUGCUUAGGCGGACAGAUGCCCGAGGUGCGGGCAUCACUCAGAGGCGGACAAUGAGACUAAGAUGCAACAAAGAAGCUCAGACACCCGCUUUGCAGUCAGCAAUGGAAACUGCGGAAGAUGCAGUGCCAGCCACAGGAUGCACUUGCUUAGGAAUAUUUAUUGGACAAUUAGUGCUAAUGUCCUGAUGCCACCAUGGUGCCUCUGUGGCCUCCAUUAUUCAGGAAAUACUGACUGCCAAAUAUAGCCCACAAGCAAUUACUUAACCCAAGGUAUCCUAAUUCACUUAAUUUAAUUCCACUGAUGAUUUUCUUCCUCCACUAAUGACAGUGAGUUCUCAGCAUCUAACCGAAGAAAAUGCACACUGUACUCCCCACACCAGGGCAGAAUAACAAAGCCAGGCUUAUCAGAUACCAAAUUAGCAUUAUCUUUUAAAGCUCCCUGACAUCUGUGCAAGAAUAUCCCAAUAACGCAAAUUCACUGUGAUGCCGACUUAGUGUUUUUGGUAUAGUUCUGAGUGUUUGCUGUUACCAAGGAACCUCACAUCAGAUGCAUGCUCUCACCUACAGCUCCUGCUCAUUCCCUCAACCCAGUUUUUCCACCCAGUCGAGCCAUUCAUUGUAAUAUUUCCAACUGGCCCCUUUAAAGAGAAAACAAAAUGGUUCCACACUGUCAUCCUUUCACAGGAGGAUAUGAGAGCCCAUUCGCCUACAGGACCUUCUAAGGCCCAGGACACGGAAGCAGAUAGGACCCAAAAGUCGCAGGCAUUCCCCAGAAUCAUGCCAUAGAGGUUCCCG
rnacentral:lncRNA from 1 species